GGAGAUAUAGCUCAGUGGCACAAGUCCCUGCCUGGCAAGCACAAGGUCCUGAGUUCAGUUCCCAGUACCUCCC
rnacentral:tRNA from 1 species